rnacentral:rRNA from 1 species
UACAGAGACUGCAAGCGUUAUUCGGAUUCACUGGGCGUAAAGGGUGCGUAGGUGGCUUGGUAAGUUCGAUGUGAAAUCUCCGGGCUUAACCCGGAAAUGGCAUUGAAUACUAUUGAGCUGGAGGUUUGGAGGGGGGACUGGAAUUCUCGGUGUAGCAGUGAAAUGCGUAGAUAUCGAGAGGAACACCAGUGGCGAAGGCGAGUCCCUGGACAACACCUGACACUGAGGCACGAAAGCUAGGGGAGCAAACAGG